UUCAAGCUGUUACUUUCCGGGUCCAGCGCCUGCUGCGAGCAACGCGCUGUUCUAGGGGCGAAGCCGAGAACUACUUUUCGUGGAGCUGAGGUUCAGCGAUGUGUGUGAGGGACACUCACAAUAAACAUCAUAAAUAAGUAAAUUCUAUAAGAGGCUGCGUAGCGAAAUGGAGUCUGCGUCCAGAUUUAUUGGGUUUCAAUCCCAGAUUCGCCACUUACUAGCUGUGUUACCCCGAGCAAAUUGCUUCAUCGUUCUGUGCUUCACUUUCCUCCUCAGUUAAUGAGGAUCAUCAUAGUGUCUACUUCAGAGUUGGUGUGAGAGUUGAAUGAGGAUACUCUCUGUGAGCCCAGCUGCUCUGUUGUGAGGAAGCCCAAGCCACGUGAAGAGUCUCCCAGAUAAGGUCCCAGCCGAAACCAGCAUCAACCACCAGAGAAGUAAGUGAGUGAACGUUGAGAUGAUUCCAGCCCCCAGGCUUUGAACCAUCCCAGCUGACACCAAGAGGAGCAGAGAGAGAACUGUUCCCAUCAAGCCCGGCCCAAACUGCAGUAACUACUUCCUCAAGUCCAUGGGCGACACUCAACUUGAGCUAAGAACGGGGAGUAAACACUCAGCAGAAGUAAAGCACAUAGAACGGAUAAGACAUUGGCCAUAAAUGCUUCCGACAGCGCCCCAACCCAGUCGGGUCAGGCGGAUUCCUGAGCGGGGAGCUCCAACUCCCACGGGGAGCCAAGAGCAAACA